GACCAGGCGAGGCGACUCCCGCCCAGGGCCCGACUUCCUCACCGGCCGCGGGUCCCGGAGAAUCCUGAUCUCAGACCUUCUUUGUGCUUCAGGGUUGGUGAGCCCAGACCCAUAGAUGCCUAUAACAGUGCCUGAGACACAGAAGAUACUCAAGAACUACUUGAUGAAUGAAUGACUUCUCAGCAUGGAAAUCAGAUUUUUCUGGAAUCAAUGAACGAUUUGUCUUGCUCCUUUAUGGUAAUCAAUUUCAAGAUUUCAAGACUCCAUGUCAAGAUAAAGCCCAUCAGAUGAAGACCACCAGAAACACACUUGUACUUAAAGUUUGGUGUAUUUACCUGCUGCUACUACAAGAGGAGCAUAAGGCCUCUCCUGGACCCUGGGAUG